CGUUCUUUGAUUAACCAAUCAGCGUAUGAGGUUGGUUGUUUGCGGAAGUAAUACAACUGUUGCCGCCUUAUGUUUGAACGAGCUCUACGCGUGUAAAAGUGGCCAUUUGACGCUUACUACGGUUCAAAAAACAUGAAACAGAGUCGGUGAGCAUGGAGAGUCCCAAGGGUUCAGAGGUGGAGUCGGGAGUGAGCAUGAACCCACACAAGCGCCUUUGCACCGCUAACAAUAGACCAGGAACAGCAUUGAGUGAAGUAGUGGACGUGAGUAUCAUCAUGCCAAUGUACAACGCCUCCCUUUGGCUGGACGAGUGUCUGCAGGCCAUAUUUGACCAAGACUUCACCGGGUCAAUGGAACUUUCUGUUUUCGAUGACGCCAGCACUGAUGACUCCAGAAAAGUGGUGGAAGCUUGGAGGCAGAAGUUGGAGGGGAGGAGCAUCUCAGUGGUGAUCAGUGGCCACAACUCACAGCAGCCAAGAGGAGUGGGAUAUGCAAAGAAUAAGGCAGUAGCGCAGAGCUGUGGAAAAUACUUGUGCUUUCAGGAUGCAGAUGACGUCAUGUUGCCCCAAAGGGUUCAGCUGCAGUACAAGGCAUCUGUCUUUCACUCAAACUCUCUGAUCGGCUGUAGAGUCCAAAGGCUUCCUGAGGGAUCCACAGAACGUUAUACCCGCUGGAUCAACACGAUCACACAGGAUCAGCUUCUCACACAAGUGUACACCUCGCAUGGACCAACUGUCAUUAUGCCAACGUGGUUCUGCUCAAGACACUGGUUCUCCAAUGUUGGAUGGUUUAGCGAGGAAAGCAAGGGAGUCCCUGAGGACUUGAUCUUCUUUUACCAGAGUCUUCGUCAAGGAGGGGGUGUGACCAGAGUUGACCAGUGCCUGGUGGUGUACCGUUACCAUGAGAAGGCCACCACACACUCUGUGAAAGAGGAAACCAUUUGGAACCUGCGAGUUGGAUUCCUUCAGGAGAGGGUUAUUAGCCAAUGGGAGAGUUUCACCAUUUGGAAUGCUGGCAAACAAGGCCGCAAGCUGUACCGAUACCUCAACGCCACCAAUCAGAAGAAAGUCAAAGCUUUCUGUGAUGUGGACAAAAACAAGAUUGAUAAAGGCUUUUAUACAUAUGAGGACUCCAAGGAACAACCGAAGCCAAAAAUUCAAAUUCUGCACUACAAAGAUGCGUCCCCACCUUUUAUCAUCUGUGUCAAACUGGACAUGACAGGCGGCAUUCUGGAGGAAAACCUCAAGUCAUUGCAGUUGAAAGAAGGAACAGAUUUCUUCCAUUUCAACUGACAGCUUGGAGAAGCAUCAGAGAACAAGACUGGUGUGUCACUGCAUGGCUCUUGGGCAUGAACUUCACCAGAGUUGCAUAGGUCUCGAGGAGACAUACUUGGCCACUUCAUCACCUUCUUGGAGUUAACCACAACUCCCCAGUGCCAGCAACACUCAUGCUGCCCCAGACCAUGACUCUACAACCACCGUGCCUGACAAAUUGCCUUGCUACUCACUUGUGUCCAUCUUUUUAGACAAUGAAGGCUGUGUAUUGAGUAAUUUUCAGUGAGUAAGAAAUCUAUACUGCAACACAAGCUGUACACUGACUACUCUAAGGUAAAUUAGAGUUACAUUUUUAUUUCUUUAGUAUUGUCCUCUUUAAAGAUAUACUGUAGUAAAAAUUGUUGUGGAAAUGUUAGUAUACUGUUGGAAUAGGAAAUAUGUGCUCAUUGCAAUUGUUAAACAGUCUUUUUAAUGGGUUUAUGUGAAUAAGUAGCUCUUUCCUACAAGUGUGGUGUGAUGAUGCAUGUACUGCUGGCUUUUUGCCUUCAGCUGAUUUAGCGUGUACAUUAGAGCUGCAGCUAUCAAAUAUUUUAACAAUCUAUCAAUUAGUUUGUUCGUGUAAUCGGAUAAAACCCACUUUAUAUCCCUCAAUGCAACAUUGAAAUUGCAUUUUUAACGUGUACAUUAAUAAAAAAUUUAAAGAAAAAAACUUUCCAUUCUUAGCCGCAACACAGAUCUGGGAACCCACACACAAUUGCUCUCAUGUGCGCUCUAUUGCAGCAGCCGUGCAGGAAACUCUGUUUGGGUAUUUAAAGUUACGGGCACUCCAUGCGGUGCAGAUUUUAUACAUUUUCAUAAUAAUAAUUAUUGAAUAAUCGAAUCAACAUAAUAUAAAUCAAUCCUUUUUUUAAUCGAUUAAUCGUUGCAGCCCUUCUGCACAUUUUAUAUAGUGCAUAUUCUCCUGAAAACCAGUGUCCUCUGUAGUGGACAUUUGUGUUUUGCUGGACAAGGGUUUUUUCCCUGACAUUUUGAAUUCAGAUAAAAGAAAUAGACAGAAACAAAUGUCCACUGCAAAGGACGGUGGUUUCUUAUAUUAAUGGUGGCCCAAUGUUGUUAGAUGACAUGAUGACUACAUAUUUAAAUGACUAAGGGCAUCAAAGUACAGUGUUGACCUUCUCACUUGAACUUGUAGAGAUGUUGAUGAAAGUUGUGAGCAAGUGAGUAUAUCAUCAGAACAUUGAGGUUAUAAUGGGUGUGGUCAUACACAACAUUUGCUACACAGCCCACACAUCUGCUCCAAACAUGGACACAGUUUGUUCUUGUUUCUGAGUUGCCUAUGAAACAACAUUCCCUCCAAGAGAGAGCACAGCCCUGAUACAUAAACACUCACAAAAAGUUUAUUUUGCCUCACAGAGCGUGACGCUUUUCAGCCUGCAGCCAAACAGACCUUUGACCACAAAUCUUCACAAGUGUUCCUGCCUUUCUUUAUAUUUACAAGCUGCAGCAACACUACAGGAUUGUGUUUAAUGUAGGUCUGAUACUGCUGAUAGUUUAACACUUAAAAAAUCAUGAGUGUGUUCUUCAGAUCUGACAUCAAAACUCUGCACCUAUAAUUGCUGUUAUUGUCCUGAACAAGUUUAUUUGUCGUUUGAUCUCUGAAA